UACAGAGGAUGCAAGCGUUAUCCGGAAUGAUUGGGCGUAAAGCGUCUGUAGGUGGCUUUUUAAGUCCGCCGUCAAAUCCCAGGGCUCAACUCUGGACAGGCGGUGGAAACUACCAAGCUGGAGUACGGUAGGGGCAGAGGGAAUUUCCGGUGGAGCGGUGAAAUGCGUAGAGAUGUGGAGGAAUACCGAUGGCGAAGGCAGCCCCCUGGGCCAACACUGACGCUGAUGCACGAAAGCGUGGGGAGCAAACAGG
rnacentral:rRNA from 1 species